AAGUUCCUCAACCACAUCAAUUUUGUCUUGAUGCGGCUUGGAUGUGGGGGUUUGCAGGCUUCUUUUGAAGUCUGCUCCCCUGAAAUGCAUUAGUGGUGUCUGAGCAGAUAUACUACAGGUGUGAUAAAUAUCUACAUCCUAGUAUGCUGUGGAUUGAACCGCUUUCUAACAGAGUGAAGGCCCCCUUGAGCCUUCGCAUUUGAUGA
rnacentral:misc_RNA from 1 species